GCCAGAGCCAUAUCUCCCCUGCAGUUCUCGCCUGGUUUCCCAAUGAAGUUAAGCAGGGUUGAGCCUGGCCAGUACCUGGAGACCUCCUGGAGAAAACUAAGGUUGAUGCUGGAA
rnacentral:rRNA from 1 species